AGAGUUUGAUCCUGGCUCAGAUUGAACGCUGGCGGCAUGCCUUACACAUGCAAGUCGGACGGCAGCAUGAUCUAGCUUGCUAGAUUGAUGGCGAGUGGCGAACGGGUGAGUAAUACAUCGGAACGUGCCCUGUAGUGGGGGAUAACUAGUCGAAAGAUUAGCUAAUACCGCAUACGACCUGAGGGUGAAAGUGGGGGACCGCAAGGCCUCAUGCUAUAGGAGCGGCCGAUGUCUGAUUAGCUAGUUGGUGAGGUAAAGGCUCACCAAGGCGACGAUCAGUAGCUGGUCUGAGAGGACGAUCAGCCACACUGGGACUGAGACACGGCCCAGACUCCUACGGGAGGCAGCAGUGGGGAAUUUUGGACAAUGGGCGAAAGCCUGAUCCAGCAAUGCCGCGUGUGUGAAGAAGGCCUUCGGGUUGUAAAGCACUUUUGCCCGGAAAGAAAUGGCUCUGGUUAAUACCUGGGGUCGAUGACGGUACCGGAAGAAUAAGGACCGGCUAACUACGUGCC
rnacentral:rRNA from 1 species